GACGAACGCUGGCGGCGUGCUUAACACAUGCAAGUCGAACGGAAAGGCCCUGCUUUUGUGGGGUGCUCGAGUGGCGAACGGGUGAGUAACACGUGAGUAACCUGCCCUUGACUUUGGGAUAACUUCAGGAAACUGGGGCUAAUACCGGAUAGGAGCUCCUGCUGCAUGGUGGGGGUUGGAAAGUUUCGGCGGUUGGGGAUGGGCUCGCGGCUUAUCAGCUUGUUGGUGGGGUAGUGGCUUACCAAGGCUUUGACGGGUAGCCGGCCUGAGAGGGUGACCGGGCACAUUGGGAAUUAGGUACGGCCCCGGCCCCUACGGGGGGCAGGAGGUGGGAAUUUUGCAAAAUGGGCGGAAGCCUGAUGCAGCAACGCCGGGGUCGGGAUUACGGCCUUCGGGUUUUAAACCGCUUUCGCCUGUGACGAAGCGGGAGGGACGGUAAUGGGUAAAGAAGCACCGGCUAACUACGUG
rnacentral:rRNA from 1 species